CGGGUGAGUAACGCGUGAGUAACCUGCCUUACACAAGGGGAUAGCCUUUGGAAACGAAGAAUAAUACCCUAUAAAACUAUAAAAGCACAUGCAAUUAUGGUCAAAGUGAUAGCGGUGUAAGAUGGACUUGCGUCUGAUUAGCUAGUUGGUGAGAUAAAAGCCCACCAAGGCAACGAUCAGUAGCCGGCUUGAGAGAGUGUACGGCCACAUUGGGACUGAGACACGGCCCAG
rnacentral:rRNA from 1 species